rnacentral:tRNA from 1 species
CGCUUUAGCUCAGUGGUAGAGCGCAUCCUUGGUAAGGAUGAGGUCUCGAGUUCAACUCUCGAAAGCGGCU